rnacentral:rRNA from 1 species
CCCUUAGAUGUUCUGGGCGGCCCGCGCACUACAUUGGCACUAGCAAAGAGAUCCUAGAUUGAAUUCUUUGGGGUAUUCUUCUAAAUGGUGUCGUGACUGGGAUAAAUCCUUGUAAUUAUUGGUUUUGAACGAGGAAUUCCUUGUAAUCGCGGUUUAUCAGCUCGCGUUGAAUGCGUCCCUGCCCUUUGUACACCCCGCCCGUCGCUCCUACCGAUGGAUCGUCCGGUGAAGCUCACGGAGUGACUGUUCACGCAACGGUUUACGAAGUGAAAUGGACCUCACGAUUUAGAGGAAGGAGAAGUCGUAACA